rfam:Populus trichocarpa scaffold_28_contig_9, whole genome shotgun sequence.
UCUAGAACUCGAGAUAUGUGUUGAACACUGAACAGUGUCUGAGCUGUAUGACAGAUUCUGACUUCUCUGUUGUUGCUAUAAUUUGAACUUGAAAACGGUCCUUUUCAAUUUUGGACACAUGAAAGUUUUAGGCCUAUGUCUUAGCUUUCUAUC